UAUAAAAAUGACAAACGCACACUAGCUUUAAUAGAAUUAAAUUUAGAAUAAUACUAAUUAUGAAAAAAAAAACCUAUACUAGUAUCCCAAUGAUACUAAAAUAACACUGUCUAUAGUGUGUUGACUAAUGUGUUGUAAAGUGUUUCCACUUUCUAUUUUCAUAACUUUACCCAUUAUUUAUUUCAUAAAACCCACAUGAUGAUAUAUGCUGAAGCAAGCAAACAAUUACAUGUGAAAACCCCCAGACAAACACAGGACAUGCGCUUUGAUGUCGGGAAGUAUUGAUCAUUGAUCCUGUCAGGUAAGAACCCACUACACGUCCUUAAUGUAUUUCUGUUUCUGAGUGAAAAAAAGUGUAGGACACGACUUGAUUAUAUCCAUCCUGAAGUGAUUUGACCCUGACGAGUGGCGCUUCACAACCAGAAUGCAGUCAAAAAGCAAGUGAAUUAUUGUGAUUAAGUGAUUAUUUUUGGCAUAGUGCACUGACGACAAAUGAAGUACAACCAGGAAUGUGCAUUUAGAAAGGAAACAGGAUUCGUUUCUCUUUUAAAUUAAAUUUAACUUGAAAAUCAUUUGAAGUGACGGAUGGCUGUUCCUUGAACUUUACAGGAAUGCAAGCAGCGAGACCGACCAGAAGAUCCGCACGUAAAGCACAUCCAUAUUUGAUGAAUGCCAUUUUGCAGAGCUCAUUCUGAGCCGGGUUCAUCCCUACACUAAUGUACACUGGCAUAUUCUGCAGCUCCGAGUCUGAUGAUGCGCAGUGACCGUAUCACGACCCCGUUCACCAGCCCCACCCGCACGAGAGAGAGAGAGAGAGGGAUGAGAUCAAUAAAUGCUGCUUGAUGUAAAGCCAAAAAACAAAAUCAGAGUCAAUUUUUUAAGACCCCAAAAUUGUGGUUUUGUGGCUUUUAGGUAAUGUCUUUUGGCUUUGAGGUCGUCUGCAGAUGUGAAAAGUCUAAACACCCCUGUUAGCUGGUUAUAGAUAUUUUGAAGAAUGGUCUGGUCUCCGUUUAAUGUGGAGGAAUAUGAAAGUCAAUGGGGUCCAUCAACUGUAAAACAGGUUUAUCCAGACUGAUCUGAGCAUGUGUUGGUACAUGGUGUGUGUCACAACAUUUUGGAGCAGAUGUGAUCUGAGAAGAAGAAAGAAGGGCUUCUCAGGAGAUUGUCAAAGCGCUCCAGUAAUGGAUCUUUGGGGAAGUGCUAAUCUGAUGGAUAGCAUGAAGUGUGAAAAACAUUUCACUCACCCAUCGCUUCAAAAGAACUCCAUUUCUCUCGUUUUCCUUCUGCUUCCUUACUAUAGAUGACCUUGCACUUUGAAAGAGAUGCACAGAAAGUCGCCAGUGAUAAAAAAAAGGGAGUUUACUAACAUGUCGUUUUUCUUUAAAGGUGAAGUGUGUAAAUUAAAAUAUGUUUUUAUGGCCGUUAAUGUGUCAUUCGUAGGUUGAU